UACGUAGGGGGCAAGCGUUAUCCGGAUUUACUGGGUGUAAAGGGAGCGUAGACGGAGCAGCAAGUCUGAUGUGAAAGCCCGGGGCUCAACCCCGGGACUGCAUUGGAAACUGUUGGACUAGAGUGCUGGAGAGGUAAGUGGAAUUCCUAGUGUAGCGGUGAAAUGCGUAGAUAUUAGGAGGAACACCAGUGGCGAAGGCGGCUUACUGGACAGUAACUGACGUUGAGGCUCGAAAGCGUGGGGAGCAAACAGG
rnacentral:rRNA from 1 species